rnacentral:rRNA from 1 species
AUUGAACGCUGGCGGCAGGCCUAACACAUGCAAGUCGAACGAGUGGCGGACGGGUGAGUAAUGUCUGGGAAACUGCCUGAUGGAGGGGGCUAACUACUGGAAACGGUAGCUAAUACCUCAUACCAUCAGAUGUGCCCAGAUGGGAUUAGCUUGUUGGUGGGGUAACGGCUCACCAAGGCGACGAUCCAUAGCUGGUCUGAGAGGAUGACUGGCCACACUGGAACGGAGACACGGUCCAGCCUCCUACGGGGGGAAGAAGUGGGGAAUAUCGCACAAUGGGCGCAAGCCUGAUGCAGACAUACCGGUUGUAGGAGAAAGGCCUGCGGGUGGUAAAGUACUUUCAGCGGGGAGGCGUUACCCGCACAAGAAGCACCGGCUAACUCCGUGCCAGCAGCCGCGGUAAUUC